rnacentral:rRNA from 1 species
UACGUAGGGGGCGAGCGUUGUCCGGAAUUACUGGGCGUAAAGGGUGCGUAGGCGGCCUGAUAAGUCAGAUGUGAAAUACCAGGGCUCAACCCUGGGGGUGCAUUUGAAACUGUUGGGCUUGAGUGCAGGAGAGGAAAGUGGAAUUCCUAGUGUAGCGGUGAAAUGCGUAGAGAUUAGGAGGAACACCAGUGGCGAAGGCGACUUUCUGGACUGUAACUGACGCUGAGGCACGAAAGCGUGGGUAGCGAACAGGAUUAGAUACC